GUUAGGAAUAUUGGACAAUGGGCGCAAGCCUGAUCCAGCCAUGCCGCGUGAGUGAUGAAGGCCUUCGGGUUGUAAAGCUCUUUAGUCCACGAAUAUAAUGACUGUAGUGGAAGAAUAAGCCCCGGCUAACUUCGUGCCAGCAGCCGCGGUAAUACGAAGGGGGCGAGCGUUAUUCGGAAUCACUGGGCGUAAAGCGUGCGUAGGCUGUUUUGUAAGUCAGACGUGAAAGCCAAGGGCUUAACCCUGGAACUGCUUUUGAAACUACAAGACUCGAAUUCGGGAGAGGAUAGCGGAAUUGUCAGUGUAGCAGUGAAAUGCGUAGAUAUUGACAGGAACACCAGUGGCGCAAGCGGCUAUCUGGACCGAUAUUGACGCUGAGGCACGAAAGCGUGGGGAGCAAACAGGAUUAGAAACCCGUGUAGUCC
rnacentral:rRNA from 1 species